GUCCUGUAACGCAGUGCAUAGUGCGUUGGACUUCUAAUCCAAAGGUCGUGGGUUCAAAUCCCACCUUGGAUG